rnacentral:rRNA from 13 species
GUUUGAUCAUGGCUCAGAUUGAACGCUGGCGGCAGGCCUAACACAUGCAAGUCGAACGGUAGCAGGAAGUGCUUGCACUUCGCUGACGAGUGGCGGACGGGUGAGUAAUACUUGGGAAUGUGCCUUUACGUGGGGGAUAACUAUUGGAAACGAUAGCUAAUACCGCAUAAUGUCUACGGACCAAAGGGGGCUUUUAGCUCUCGCGUAAAGAGCAGCCCAAGCGAGAUUAGCUAGUUGGUGUGGUAAAGGCGCACCAAGGCGACGAUCUCUAGCUGUUCUGAGAGGAAGAUCAGCCACACUGGAACUGAGACACGGUCCAGACUCCUACGGGAGGCAGCAGUGGGGAAUUUUCCG